ensembl:lncRNA
AAGAACCCUUACGAAUUAGCUUUCCCACGAGGCUAUUGAGAUGAGAGAGGUGGUAACCAGGGCCCUUUUCUGGCCUGCUUCAGCCCUUCUGCAUCCCAGGACGUUCUCAUGUCUCCACAGGGAUGUCAUCACAUUCCCUGGAGUAGGAAAUCGUAAUCCGCUUCAGUAUUCUUGUCUGGAAAACUCCAUGGACAGAGGAGCCUGGCGGGCUGCUGUCCACGGGUCUCAAAGAGUCGGACACAACUGAGAGACUGAACACAGCUCAGCACAGUCUUUCAAGUUUGGGUACUGCUGCCUGUCUUAGCGAAGCUGAAGUUGUGAUGGAGAUGGGUUAUAACUUGAUAUUUGAAGUAAGUCCUCAGGAGGCUUUCUCAAGGCUGCUGCAGUUCAAAGGCUAGAUCCAACAUUUAAAAGCUGUGUGACCUUGGGGAAGUUACCUAAUCAUUCUGAGCCUCAGUUUUCUGCAUUGUUAAAAUGUAGAUGACAACAGUGCCUGCUGUAUAAAAGUUUUGUAAAAAUUUACUUAGUGUUGAUGAAAUUUCUAACUCCUGUUUUUCGAUGUGAGUGCUCCUGGAGUGAAAAGUGGGUCAUUUAACUGUGAAGGCUUCUCUGCUCAAAGAUAGCAACUCCUUCACACUCCACUAGUUAUCAGACUUUAGGGUGCACCAUUAUCAAAGGGACUUGUUUAAAAUGCAGAUCCUUGGAGCCUACCAGAAGUUAUUCCAAUUCUGAUAGGACUGGGUCCCAGAAACCCAUAGUUGUAACAAGCAGCCAGGUGAUUCUAAUGCAGAUAAUUCAGAGGUUAUACUUUGAAAAAAAAUGAAUUAGUGUUAUUUAAAGACACCACAGGGAGAGUGGUGGCUCAGAUGGUAAAGAAUCUGCGCAAUGCAGGAGACCUGGGUUGAGAAGAUCCCCUGGAGGAGGGCAUGGAAAUCCACUUUAGUGUUCUUGCUUGGAGAAUCCCCAUGGACAGAAGAGCCUGAUGGGCUACAGUCCAUGGGUUUGCAAAGAGUCGGACAUGACUGAGCGACUAAGCACACACACACAUGGAGAGCUAGGCUGAUAGUCAUAUAUAUCUUAAAGUGACUAAUUCAAUCGGAUUGCUUUCCUAUCAACACCUCUAACAAGUCAUUCUCAAGGCAAUAGUAUUUUUGAUAGUUUGGAAGGAGAGGGGAGCAAUUUUGGUCACUCAGUUCAGUCUCUCAGUCUUGUCCAACUCUUUGCGACCCCAUGAACUGCAGCACGCC